GAGCGCCAGCGAGAGAGCGUUGCCGCAGGCAACGACCCGAAGGGCGAAGCGCGCAGCGCUGAGUAAUCCUUCCCCCACCACCA
rnacentral:sRNA from 1 species